rnacentral:tRNA from 1 species
AACAAGGUGGUCGACUGGUUAAGACGAUGCCCUUCUAAUGGAUUGGAGUUUACCCGCGUGAAUUCGAAUCUCAUCCUCAUUG